AGAGUUAAGCUUCGUAGGUGACCUGCGGAGGAUCAUUACUGAUUUGCUUAAUUGCACCACAUGUGUUUUUCUUUGAAACAAACUUGCUUUGGCGGUGGGCCCAGCCUGCCGCCAGAGGUCUAAACUUACAACCAAUUUUUUAUCAACUUGUCACACCAGAUUAUUACUAAUAGUCAAAACUUUCAACAACGGAUCUCUUGGUUCUCGCAUCGAUGAAGAACGCAGCGAAAUGCGAUACGUAAUAUGAAUUGCAGAUAUUCGUGAAUCAUCGAAUCUUUGAACGCACAUUGCGCCCUCUGGUAUUCCGGAGGGCAUGCCUGUUUGAGCGUCGUUUCUCCCUCAAACCGCUGGGUUUGGUGUUGAGCAAUACGACUUGGGUUUGCUUGAAAGACGGUAGUGGUAAGGCGGGAUCGCUUUGACAAUGGCUUAGGUCUAACCAAAAACAUUGCUUGCGGCGGUAACGUCCACCACGUAUAUCUUCAAACUUUGACCUCAAAUCAGGUAGGACUACCCGCUGAACUUAAGCAUAUCAAAAGGCCGGGAGGAA
rnacentral:rRNA from 1 species